AGUGUAAUUAUCGACUCUGUCGAAUAAAAUUCUAGGUAGAAUUAUGAUAAUGACAUUGUCUGCCUAUGUGUCUUGACCAAAUUACGUGCCAGCAGUCGCGGUAAUACGUAGAAGACUAGUGUUAUUCAUCUUUAGUAGGUUUAAAGGGUACCUAGACGGUAAAUCAAGCCUGUAAUAAGGGACUAAUGUACUAGAGUUACUUACGAGGGGGUAUUAAAGUACUGCUGGUGUAGGGAUGAAAUCCGAUGAUACCUCGUUUUCUUAAAAACGCUAUGGCACAGGUAUAGGCGAAAGCAUCCCCUUAUGUGAUAACUGACGUUGAAGGACGAAGGCUUUGUGUAGCGAACAGGAUUAGAUACCCUAGUAGUCAAAGCAGAAAAUGAUGAAUGUCAUAGAUUAGACAUAUCAUAGUUUAUUCUAUAAAUGAAAGUGUAAGCAUUCCACCUCAAGAGUAAUUUGGCAACAUUGGAACUGAAAUCAUUAGACCGUUUCUGAAACCAGUAGUGAAGUAUGUUAUUUAAUUUGAUUCUCCGCAUAAAACCUUACCACAAUUUGAAUAUUUAUAUUUUUAUAUCAGUGCUGCUUUAGCAUGCAAGGGUUAAAUAUAUUUACAAGCGUUGCACGGCUGUCUUCAGUUAAUGUCGUGAGAUUCUGGUUAGUUCCAUUAAUUAACGUAAACCCUUACUUUAUUUUUUAUAUAGAGUUGUUCCCCGCUAGAUUGGAUAAGAUAACAGGGACUAAGACAAGUCAUCAUGGCCUAAAUAUUGUGGGCUA
rnacentral:rRNA from 1 species